rnacentral:rRNA from 1 species
UACGUAGGCGGAAAAUUAAGUCAGUGGUGAAAUCCUGCAGCUUAACUGUAGAACUGUCAUUGAUACUGGUUUUCUUGAAUACAGUUGAGGUAGGCGGAAUGUGUAAUGUAGCGGUGAAAUGCUUAGAUAUUACACAGAACACCGAUUGCGAAGGCAGCUUACUAAACUAUGAUUGACGCUGAGGCACGAAAGCGUGGGGAGCGAACAGGAUUAGAUACCCUGGUAGUCC